GUGCUAGCUUUGACAGCACGUAUACUAAAAUUGGAAUGAUACAGAGAAGAUUAGCAUGGCCCCUGUGCAAGGACAACUUGCAAAUUCAUGAAGCAUUCCAUGUUUUU
rnacentral:snRNA from 1 species